CAAACAUUUCGUCAGCAAAGUGAAUCGCGCACGUGACUGGACAGAAAGUGAAGCUUCGUUUCAAGUCUCGCUUCGUUUGACAUUGGUCGCGUGAUUUCUAUGUUAACAAGACAAGCUUCGAAUCGAGGCUUCAUUUGUCACAACUCUUUAUUCUCGACACAUACAAGCUCCGAAGCCUCCGUUCAAAUCUCUCAUCACUAGUGCGGAGUGAAAGCCGAUUUGUCAUCUACAAAAGGUUUUGAAAGUCGAAGAGUCGGUGUUUACUACUGCAAACAAAAGCAACGCCGUGAGAAUUCACCUGCUGUUUGAAGCAUGUUUCUGAAUAUAAGACCUGAGUUUGUGAGUGUGACUCGACCCGUAAUCGCUAGCCUCGUGUUUCUUUCACUCGUUAGCGGGAAAUGUAAAUCCUGAACUGGAGUGAAAUGGCGAGGGAUCACAGAUUGUUUUGAGAAAAUAACGAAACUCAGUUGGUCGGCUUUCAAAACGAAGUUUCAGACAGGAUUUAAUCUGUACCUUGCUUGGCGGCCUAAGAAAUGAUCAUGGAAUUGCUUAGGAGUCCAAAUUGUGAUGCCAUCUCUGACACUGUAAUUGGGUUCAACGAGUCGGCCACUGAUGAAGAGCAGGCAGUGACAGAAAAGAAUGAUGUUCAAAUAAGAGAACUUCCUUUCCCCUAAAAUGAUUCAGCAGUGGUUUUAAAGGAGGAUGCUGCCCUGGAUGAUGUAGAAGAAGGGCUUCUUCGUGACUACAUCAAUUAUGCUGAAGAGAUCAUGAAAAUUGACAGUGAUGCAUGAUCUGUGUUCAUGGACUAUGAAACAAACUGUAAGUGUAUAAUUUGUAAAAACCAUGUUAAAUGCUUGUUCU